GCCUCGAUAGCUCAGUUGGGAGAGCGUUAGACUGAAGAUCUAAGAUGAAGAUCCUUUAUAAAGGUCACCAGUUCGAUCCUGGUUCGGGGCA
rnacentral:tRNA from 1 species